GCCUCUGUAGAUUAGUGGUUAGAUCAUCUCCUCAUGAAUUUAAAUGUUAUGGAGAACCCUUUGGUUCGACUCCUAGCAGAGGUA